rnacentral:rRNA from 1 species
AUUGAACGCUGGCGGCAGGCCUAACACAUGCAAGUCGAACGGUAACAGGAAGCAGCUUGCUGCUUCGCUGACGAGUGGCGGACGGGUGAGUAAUGUCUGGGAAACUGCCUGAUGGAGGGGGAUAACUACUGGAAACGGUAGCUAAUACCGCAUAACGUCGCAAGACCAAAGAGGGGGACCUUCGGGCCUCUUGCCAUCAGAUGUGCCCAGAUGGGAUUAGCUUGUUGGUGGGGUAACGGCUCACCAAGGCGACGAUCCCUAGCUGGUCUGAGAGGAUGACCAGCCACACUGGAACUGAGACACGGUCCAGACUCCUACGGGAGGCAGCAGUGGGGAAUAUUGCACAAUGGGCGCAAGCCUGAUGCAGCCAUGCCGCGUGUAUGAAGAAGGCCUUCGGGUUGUAAAGUACUUUCAGCGGGGAGGAAGGUGUUGUGGUUAAUAACCGCAGCAAUUGACGUUACCCGCAGAAGAAGCACCGGCUAACUCCGUGCCAGCCGCAGC